GAUCCUGGCUCAGGACGAACGCUGGCGGCGUGCCUAAUACAUGCAAGUAGAACGGGGCUGAAGAGAGGAGCUUGCUCUUCUUGGAUGAGUUGCGAACGGGUGAGUAACGCGUAGGUAACCUGCCUUGUAGCGGGGGAUAACUAUUGGAAACGAUAGCUAAUACCGCAUAACAAUGGAUGACACAUGUCAUUUAUUUGAAAGGGGCAAUUGCUCCACUACAAGAUGGACCUGCGUUG
rnacentral:rRNA from 1 species